CUGAAUAUGAUAAGCAAUGAUCGUGAACUUGGCGGCCUAGAGCUAAUCCAAGCGCCACUUCUCGAUGUGGAGGUCAGAGGCGCCCCUGCUCUCAGAUUCUUCGGCGAUGUGGUCUGGAAAUAGACGCUAGGAUGCCAGGCCGUGACGAGAAUUUUGUUAUUUCAUCUGAAACUCCACAGUACUGGUGGCGGCACUCAAAUUGUCUAGAAAUGUGGUUGAAUCUGGAGAAAAGAUGAAACCCAGCAGGAUACCAGACUGUUCAGGCUGUAGACGUUUGGUAGGUUCUUAAAUAAGAAACGGAGUAUUAGUUGCUGCCCUCACGUGUUUAUCUCUUAUUAAUUGGACAAUCCAUGAGUGUUGUUUCCGUUGGUGCAAUCGUCGAGUUUAACCCUAUACUUGUCAUGAAACAGAGCAUUUCUAAACGAAGCAAUCCCGUUGUUUUCAGUGGGUAGAGAGGUCUCUUCC
rnacentral:lncRNA from 1 species